GUACACUCCUACGGGAGGCAGCAGUGAGGAAUAUUGGACAAUGGGUGGAAGCCUGAUCCAGCCAUCCCGCGUGCAGGAAGACGGCCCUAUGGGUUGUAAACUGCUUUUAUCUGGGGAUAAACCUACUUACGUGUAAGUAGCUGAAGGUACCAGAAGAAUAAGCACCGGCUAACCCCGUGCCAGCAGCCGCGGUAAUACGGAGGGUGCAAGCGUUAUCCGGAUUUAUUGGGUUUAAAGGGUCCGUAGGCGGACUGAUAAGUCAGUGGUGAAAUCCGACAGCUUAACUGUCGAACUGCCAUUGAUACUGUUAGUCUUGAGUAAGGUUGAAGUGGCUGGAAUAAGUAGUGUAGCGGUGAAAUGCAUAGAUAUUACUUAGAACACCAAUUGCGAAGGCAGGUCACUAAGUCUUAACUGACGCUGAUGGACGAAAGCGUGGGGAGCGAACAGGAUUAGAAACCCCGGUAGUCCCA
rnacentral:rRNA from 1 species